rnacentral:rRNA from 1 species
GAUUAACGCUGGCGGCGUGCCUAAUACAUGCAAGUCGAGCGGACGGACGAGAAGCUUGCUUCUCUGAUGUUAGCGGCGGACGGGUGAGUAACACGUGGAUAACCUACCUAUAAGACUGGGAUAACUUCGGGAAACCGGAGCUAAUACCGGAUGAUAUUUUGAACCGCAUGGUUCAAAAGUGAAAGACGGUCUUGCUGUCACUUAUAGAUGGAUCCGCGCUGCAUUAGCUAGUUGGUAAGGUAACGGCUUACCAAGGCAACGAUGCAUAGCCGACCUGAGAGGGUGAUCGGCCACACUGGAACUGAGACACGGUCCAGACUCCUACGGGAGGCAGCAGUAGGGAAUCUUCCGCAAUGGGCGAAAGCCUGACGGAGCAACGCCGCGUGAGUGAUGAAGGUCUUCGGAUCGUAAAACUCUGUUAUUAGGGAAGAACAUAUGUGUAAGUAACUGUGCACAUCUUGACGGUACCUAAUCAGAAAGCCACGGCUAACUACGUG